AAAUGGACUCUCAGCAACGGAUAUCUUGGCUCUUGCA
rnacentral:rRNA from 2 species